GGGUGCGAUCAUACCAGCACUAAUGCAUCCGAUCCCAUCAAAACUCCGCAGGUAAGCGUGCUUGGGUGAGAGUAGUACUAGGAUGGCUGACCGCCUAGGAAGUCCUCAUGUUGCACCCC
rnacentral:rRNA from 1 species